GAUGAACGCUGGCGGCGUGCCUAAUACAUGCAAGUCGAGCGAACAGACGAGGAGCUUGCUCCUCUGACGUUAGCGGCGGACGGGUGAGUAACACGUGUAUAACCUACCUAUAAGACUGGGAUAACUUCGGGAAACCGGAUCUAAUACCGGAGAAUAUACUGAACCGCAUGGUUCAAUAGUGAAAGACGGUUUUGCUGUCACUUAUAGAUGGAUCCGGGCCGGUUUAGCUAGUUGGUAAGGUAACGGCUUUCCAAGGCAACGAUGCGUAGCCGACCGGAGAGGGUGGUAGGCCGCACUGGAACUGAGACACGGUCCAGGGUCCUACGGGAGGCAGCAGUAGGGAAUCUUCCGCAAUGGGCGAAAACUUGACGGAACAACCCCGAGUGAGUGAUGAAGGUCUUCGGAGCGUAAAACUCUGUUUUUAGGGAAGAACAAAUGUGGAAGUAACUAUACACGUCUUGACGGUACCUAAUCAAAAAGCCACGGCUAACUACGUG
rnacentral:rRNA from 1 species